AUAAUGCUGGAUAGGAUAAAGAAGAGAAACUAACAAGAGACCAAGAAGGUACUGUUGAAAAGAUAUGAAGAAAACCAGUAGAGAGAGCAUUGUCAUGCAAGCCAUGGGAGAAGGGCUGGACGUCAAAAGGAUUCAAAAAAUUAGGAGAAGAAACUAUUACAUCUGACAAUUAGAAUGCAUUGUUCUCUUGGAAAAAGCAGUUUCAAUGUCCUGUUAGGACAUUGACUUAUCACGUAUAGCAAUAGAGCAGCAAAUAGUUCAGAAAUGAAUGCGCAGAGAAGAAUUGAAGCCAGAAGAAUAACACACAAAAGAGGAAGAAAUGGAAAGAGUUAAGGAAACAGUGAAUCGUCUCUUUUGCCAGGAACAUUGAGUACAUAAAGGAGGAGAAUGUGAGAUAAUGUUGGAAAGAUGAUUAAAUGAAUGGAAAAAUAUAACAUAACCAUGUCAACAAUGAAAGAUUGAGACUGAAAAAAGAGAGCAAAAAGACAGACAACAGAGAAAGGAGAAAAGGAGGGGGAGAAGAGAAGGAAAGAGAGGGCGGAGGGAGAGAGGAAGAGAAACCAGAACAAGAAAUGAUCCAAAAUUCCAAGAAGAAACUGGAGACAAUUUAUUUUGCCCACCCAGAGUGCCAUUAAAAAAAGAGAGAGAAAAGCCUUCAAGUAUUAGGGAAGGCGGUCCAGCUACUCAUUUAAUAUCUCA